rnacentral:rRNA from 1 species
GGCGAACGCUGGCGGCGUGCUUAACACAUGCAAGUCGAACGGUGACCCUCGGAGCUUGCUUCGGGGUGAGCAGUGGCGAACGGGUGAGUAACACGUGAGUAACCUGCCCCUGACUCUGGAAUAAGCGCUGGAAACGGCGUCUAAUACCGGAUACGACACGCCUCCGCAUGGGGAGCGUGUGGAAAGUUUUUCGGUCUGGGAUGGACUCGCGGCCUAUCAGCUUGUUGGUGAGGUAAUGGCUCACCAAGGCGAUGAUGGGUAGCCGGCCUGAGAGGGCGACCGGCCACACUGGGACUGAGACACGGCCCAGACUCCUACGGGAGGCAGCAGUGGGGAAUAUUGCACAAUGGGCGAAAGCCUGAUGCAGCGACGCCGCGUGAGGGAUGACGGCCUUCGGGUUGUAAACCUCUUUCAGCAGGGAAGAAGCGAAAGUGACGGUACCUGCAGAAGAAGCACCGGCUAACUACGUGCCAGCCGCCGCAGUAAGAC